UGGUGCGAUGAUACUAGCACUAAUGCACCGGAUCCCAUCAGAACUCUGCAGUUAAGCAUGCUCGGGCGAGAGUAGUACUAGGAUGGUCGACCUCUUGGGAUGUCCUCGUGUUGCACACC
rfam:Gossypium arboreum cultivar AKA8401 contig_1046_1, whole genome shotgun sequence.